rnacentral:rRNA from 1 species
UACGAAGGGGGCUAGCGUUGUUCGGAAUUACUGGGCGUAAAGCGCACGUAGGCGGAUGUGCCAGUCAGGGGUGAAAUCCCGAGGCUCAACCUCGGAACUGCCUCCGAUACAGCACGUCUCGAGUCCGGAAGAGGUGAGUGGAAUUCCUAGUGUAGAGGUGAAAUUCGUAGAGAUUAGGAAGAACACCAGUGGCGAAGGCGGCUCACUGGUCCGGUACUGACGAUGAGGUGCGAAAGAGUGGGGAGCAGACAGG